GACGAACGCUGGCGGCGCGCCUAACACAUGCAAGUCGAACGGAGUUCAUUGGACAGAUCCUUCGGGUGAUGGAAGGUGAACUUAGUGGCGGACGGGUGAGUAACACGUGAGCAACCUACCUUACAGAGGGGGGAUAACGUUCUGAAAGAACGCUAAUACCGCAUAACAUAUUGGGAGGGCAUCCUUUUGAUAUCAAAGGAGGAAUCCGCUGUAAGAUGAGCUCGCGUCCGAUUAGGCAGUUGGCGGGGUAACGGCCCACCAAACCGACGAUCGGUAGCCGGACUGAGAGGUUGAACGGCCACAUUGGGACUGAGACACGGCCC
rnacentral:rRNA from 1 species